rnacentral:rRNA from 1 species
AUUGAACGCUGGCGGCAUGCUUUACACAUGCAAGUCGAACGGCAGCGCGGGCUUUGGCCUGGCGGCGAGUGGCGCACGGGUGAGUAAUGCAUCGGAACGUGCCCAGUCGCGGGGGAUAGCCCGGCGAAAGCCGGAUUAAUACCGCAUACGACCUGAGGUUGAAAGCGGGGGACCGACAGGCCUCGCGCGAUUGGAGCUGCCGACGUCGGUUUAGCUAGUUGGUGGGGUAAAGGCUUACCAAGGCGACGAUCCGUAGCUGGUCAGAGAGAUGGACCAGCCACAAUAGGACUGAGACGCGGCCCAGACUCCUACGGGAGGGCGCAGUGGGGAAUUUUCGACAAUGGAGGAAACCCUGAUCCAGCCCUGCCGCGUGCGGGAAGGAGGCCUUCGGGUUGUAAUCCGCUUUUGUUCGGGAAGAAAUGCUCUGGGCUAAUACCCCGGGGGGAUGACGGUACCGGAAGAAUAAGCUCCGGCUAACUACGUG